rnacentral:rRNA from 1 species
GUUAAAAAGCUCGUAGUUGAAUUUCUGCUACAUUGCCUAUUCUCCUUUACGAGUUUGGGUCUUUUGUGGCUUAUCUGGGUUCGCUUGCGUUCCCGGUGUUUUACUUUGAGAAAAUUAGAGUGCUCAAAGCAGGCUUUUGCCUUGAAUAGUUUAGCAUGGAAUAAUAAAGUAGGACUUUGGUUCUAUUUUGUUGGNUUUAGGUACCAAAGUAAUGGUUAAUAGGAACAGUUGGGGGCAUUCGUAUUUAACUGUCAGAGGUGAAAUUCUUAGAUUUGUUAAAGACAAACUACUGCGAAAGA